GGUCUGGCUCAGGAUAAACGCUGGCGGCGUGCCUAACACAUGCAAGUUGAACGGAGUGCGAGAGAGCUUGCUUUUUUGCACUUAGUGGCGGACGGGUGAGUAAUGUAUGAGCAACCUGCCCUUCAGAGGGGGACGAACAGUUGGAAACGACUGCUAAUACCGCAUGACGCGCGCAGUUCGCAUGGACAGCGCAUCAAAGGAGGAAUCCGCUGAAGGAUGGGCUCA
rnacentral:rRNA from 1 species